rnacentral:rRNA from 1 species
UACUGGGGGGGCAAGCGUUGUUCGGAAUUACUGGGCGUAAAGGGCUCGUAGGUGGCCAACUAAGUCAUACGUGAAAUCCCUCGGCUUAACCGGGGAACUGCGUCUGAUACUGGAUGGCUUGAAUUCGGGAGAGGGAUGCAGAAUUCCAGGUGUAGCGGUGAAAUGCGUAGAUAUCUGGAGGAAUACCGGUGGCGAAGGCGGCAUCCUGGACCGACAUUGACGCUGAUGAGCGAAAGCUAGGGGAGCAAACGGG